AAAGUAUCUCUGCAAUACACAUACUCUUUUGUACGGUGUGGGCUGUUGGCUUGGCGUCCUACCUCUUGCAUCGUACACAACAGAACAUCUUACAUGAGGAAGAAGGCAGGUUCAAGCUAUUCUUCUGCCUCAGCCUCCUGAGUAGCUGGGAUUACAGGGAGCUGUCUGGUCUGGUGAUUAUUACAGCAUGGAUUAUCCUGUGCCACAGUUCCUCAAAGAAUCCAGUUGGUGGAAGAAUUCAAUUGGCUAUUGCCAUUGUAAUCACACUUUUCCCAUUUAUCUCAUGGGUCUACAUAUAUAUUAACAAGGAAAUGCGGUCCUCUUGGCCAACUCACUGCAAGACAGUAAUUUAAAUAAAUUCAAGAACUUCGUUUUU
rnacentral:lncRNA from 1 species